GCUCUUUGUCCUGGAGCUGUGCCUGCAGUAGAAGUGAGCAGCCUGGAGGAGUAACCACGGCACAGCAGAAGCGGGCAGCCAGCCUCAGCCCACGCCUCCCUGCUGCUCCCACGCCUGAGGAAAAUGUUCCCUGUUGAGAUGCUCACUGCUGCCCUGGGCUUCCUCUUGCAGACACACCGACCUCUGGUAUGAUCCAAAGGAAGAUGAUUCUGUCCUCACUCCCAGUGGAUAAGCUGGAUGCUGGCGGUAAUGGCAGAGUAUUUACAGAAGGCCUGCAGCUGUCAAGGAAUACAUUUCAUGGUUUGGUUACUGACUUCUGAGAAGGGAUACUAAAGACAUGCAGGGAGACUAUGAAACUGGGCUGGUAUUUACCAUUCAAGAAAGGCUCACGCUGAAAUGGAGAUAAAUUCCAGUUAAGUUUUGAUAAUGUCAUAGAGAUGAAUCAAAGUGUAAGCUUUGGUCAUAACAUUCACGGCCAUUGGCUUAGGGUUGAUUUUCCUAAGACAGUGUAUGGGAACUGUUGAAUCAUGGCCUGAACCUCUUGAUUGACCACCUGAGGUGAGCACUGAGUCAGCUGAAGGAGCACAGGUGAAGGCAAUUCAGCUGUGCGACCAGAAGGGGUGGAGCCAGGCUGCACCUCUCCUAGACCUCAUUUAAGGGCUGACUGCUGCUGAGGAAGGAUCUAUUCCUGGAGAUCGCUCCUCGUGGAGUUUUUGCGAGCCUACAACACUGAAUAUAUGUCUCAGCUGCCUCCAGAGCCACUCCGUUACACCCCGUGUGCUGUUCUGUUGCAUUGUGGUGCCAGCUCUCAUGGAGGACACUAUUUUUGGCUUUGUUAAGCAAGAAAGAUGUGCAUCAUUCUUGAGGAUCUCCUCCUAAAAAUGAGGAACAAAGAACCAGAAAAAGAAACCAUGAUCCAGAAGGGAAGUGAGCACAAACCAGAAAAGAAAUGGAGAAAGACUGAAGAGGGAGAGAAGUAUAAAACCUGGGAAAGCCAAAAAGAAAAGGAAGCCUGAAGAUGAACAUCAAAUGUACUACAAAUCACCCUCUUCCCACGGCAGCCAGGCAUCUGUCAGCUCUCCUUAGCACUCUCCUUUUGGACUGGUCUGGUGUGUAACACAGGAACUUCGUUGGCUAUUCUUGCAAGGAAUAGACUUUGCUGUGUUUUACCUGUGCACUCACUAGCUCCUGUUUGGGCUCAUCACUGCAUGACAAGUCUCAUCCGGAGCUGGAACUGGGGAGUGCAUGGCUCCAAAGGAGAACUUGAAGUUGUGCAGCAGAAGACUCAAGUCGUUACAUAGCAGCUGCAUCGUCAUGCUGCUUCGCAGACACCACGGACAACUUCAUUCGUUUCCAUAGAGCUUAAAUGGCUUCCAUUCAGCAAAGAUAUCCCACAGUGAUACUUAAUAAUAAGUAUCAGGAUUCUACCUCCUUUGGCUGAGUUUUGCUUCUCACUCAGAUCUGAGCAUUCAUCCAAGCAGCCUGCAAUUCCACAUGCUCUGGGGAAAAUCUGUGGUGUAGGAAAGGUGACCCCAGUGUGUCCUCAGCCUUGUUCUGAAGCAUGCAUUAAAGCAAAACAGUCAGGCUGAAACCCUGCGCAAAGCAAUGCAAAUCUGUAAGACAGCAACCUCAAGUCAGACUGUACUUCAAAGGUAAAAUGAGAUUUGAAAAAGAUAACUUAGUGUCUUCUUGCUGCUGCAGCAGAAUUCCCUGUUGCAUAUCCAAGAUACUGCUUUGGCAUCACACCGUGUCACCCAGGCAUCCACUGGCACAGCAGGCAUGGCUCAGGGUCAACAAGACAGGAAAAAAAAAAAGGUAUUGCUAGAAAAUACUUUCUGCUCUCAGUGUGCAGUGAGGGGCUUCACUUCAAGGAUGUUACGUGCACUGCCACCGGGACAGUGUUGUGACAGCACGAGCCUCAGCACAUCACUCAUCUUCGUAAGUUACUGGAAACUGCGCAGGGCUCAUUGCAGUGGGUAACUGACACUGAGGUUGUGUUCUUUAGGUAAAAAUAAGGAUAUCCGCUCCCGUUCUCAACUUCAGCUACUGAAGUACAAGUCUGAAAAAAAUAUCUUCUAAGAAUGUAAUGAAAAUAUUUACAUUUUCUGUAUGUUCAAAGUUUGCUAUCAAGCAAAGGGAAUGAAUCAGUGCUGCUUGCUCACCUACCGAGGGCUGUGUCUUACAGAAAGAUUACACUUUCCUGGUUUUUCCCCCUUUAAAAACGUUAAUUGCAUGUGAAAUUAUUAUUUCAGGGUGUUUUCACAUGCGGAGCCUGAACCCUUGCAACUCAUGCAAGCUCUGUCACCUUAUUCCUUUAAUACUAAUAGUGUUAAUUAAACUACAGUGCAUCUAAAACAUAGGAAGGAUGUUAAUAUAUAAAAAGCAGAUUAAACCAGUCAUUAACUCUCACUGCUUAUUGUGGGAGCAGACUGAAAAGUUUUUGCCUUCUGGCAAAUACCAAACCACAUCUGUGCACAGUGUCAUGGCUGCCGACAGGCCUCUGCUGGUGGGACCUGUCUGUGUUUCAGUGCAUUCACUCCAACCCUUUGGCACAACUUGUUAAUGAUGUAGCUGCUCGUCUGACACGGAGCUGCACUUCCAAAGAAGAAAAGCUAUUUCUACAGAAGGUGGAGCACGUGCUCUAACUGAGGGCUCCAUUUAAAGGCUUGAAAACGGUUACGGAGAUUGUGGGUUUCCUGCCUACAGAAAAGUUAAGUGCUAGGCUGCCCUCUACUCCAGUUUUUAGUGUUGCAUUCAACUGAGAGAAGAGUACUUAAAACACUUCUCCAUUUAUGGGCAAUGAGCUCAAGAAACAGGUAUCCGAUAUUUUACUAUUUGUUCCCUCCCAGUCCAAGGCCAAUGUAGUUACAACUAACACAAGUGGAAACAAAGCUUCCAUAUCUUCAGUUCAAUUACAUUCCAAGAAAAUUAUCCUCUGGGAUUUGAAGCUUACUUCAAAUUACAUGCCAAUAACUACUCUGAAAGGUCCUGCUGAGGUUUUAUGUCACAGUAAAGUGUGUGUGUAUAUAUAUAUAUAUAUAAAAUUUACAGUUACUGUCUUCCUUUAGUUUGCCCAAGGUUUACAUUAUCACUCCAUUAUAGCCCAUGUAGAAGUGGAUGCAGGUAUACAUGCUACCGAUCAAGUCCUAUUUCUUGUUUGCAAUUCUUCGUUUCCUUGUUGCCAGCAUAUCGUAAAAGGGAUCCCUGCUGAUACUUGCUCUACAAGAAACAAUAAGUUGUCAGUUUGGUUAACAGUCCUCUGCUUUUGAAAACAAACUGUUUUGUUCUCUCUUCCCUUUGGAUGACUCCACACUUUAAUAAAAUAACGGCUUGCUGACCUACAAUCACAGAAUAGCUCACAUUGGAAAGGACCCACAAGGACCACUGAGUCCAACCCUCAGCUCCACCCAGGACCACCUGAAAUCCAAACCCUGGAUUUGGACACUGGGAGCAGUGUCCAAACACGCUGUGAGCUCUGGCAGCACGGAGUUGUGAACACCACCCUGGUCAGCCUGGUCUAUGCCCACCACCCUUUGGUACGGCACCUUCCUGUGACCCCCAUCCAACCCUCCCCUGGCAGCUUCAUGCCAUUCACUGGGCUCUGCCACUGUCCGGGGGUUAAGGGUGGUUCUCAGAAGGCUUUACAUUGCUUAGAAUAUUAAAUUUUUAAAAAAGAAAAAACCAAACAUUUUCCUCAUUUGAGUUAGGACCUGCUAUGGUCCUAAGGACUUGACAGCCUGACCCAUCACCCCGAAGAUCCUGUCCUUAAUCCCAGAGGAUAUUGCCACAUCAGAACUCUUAAACAAGUUAAAAUGCAAGUUCUCUUCAUAUCUUAUUCAGAAAAGGAGCUUACACUUCAUUUCUGAAAGAUAUUUAUAACUGUGAACUCACUUGAUAGACUUAAUCCACUCUUCUUUCUCUUCUGGGGUGGGAGCAGAUAUUCUGUACACUACAUGGUUGCCUUCCACCACUCUGCCAUCAGCUUCAGUUUUACAGGCUUUAAUCACUUGGCCUUUAUGACUGGGGUUAUAGAGCUCAAAGCAGUUCUGGAGGGUAGGAAUGGAAAAAUACGUUAAAAACAAAGCAAAACAAACAACUGAGAAACAAAUUCAUUUACCACAAUCUCAGUUCCAAAUGGUUUACUUAUACACUAAAAAAAAAAAAAAAGAUAAUGAGGAUUUCUUACUGGCUUUCUAGGGUCUUCCACUUCUCUUAUGCUAAGAUUUUCUAAUGGAAUAAUCCCUCUGGGCUCUUUGUCCUGAAAAAAAAAAAAAAAAAAAGGAACAUAUUGCAUUAUUAUUACUCCUUUCCAUACCCAGAUUACAAAGGAAGCUCGCAGCAGUAUAUACUCACAGUUGUGUAUUCAAAGUAAUACAGGCAGUUAUCAGUCAAAAUAAACCACCUUCGUUUCCACGUUUUUACUCUUCCCCCUAUAACCAAAAGACACUGAUAAGUUAAACGUGUCACUGAGAAGGCUUCAGCAAGGGAUAAGAAAGUAAUUCAGUUUUGUUUGUUUUUCCAGUAUGUAUUUUAAUUACUUAAUUGCAAAUGGAUCAGGCACAGAUGAGCUGAGGUUAGAAACGAAUUUCUGUAACCGUCGUACAAAGAUACAGCUCCUGAGUGAGCAUUAACUAUGGUGCUGCUGACCAGCCUCAAAAGCAUUAUGGCAUAAGGCUGUAAACUCUCAGGUUUCACCCGAACCCAAGGGCUCAGCAGUGCCCUGCAGCAAACAGACUACUGCUGUACAGCCCUCAGCAGUGCAGAGCCAGUGCUGCUAUGGGAAAGAAGCGAAGCCAUAACAGCUCCGACCACAGGGCCGGCCCUGCCCACACCUGUCUCUGCACGAGGAUGGGGGUCUCAGCAUUAAGAUUAAGGACAUUUUAUCACCUUCCUUGCACUCCACUUGUGACUUCACACAUGUUUAAGAACCUCUCUCUAGUUCUGUAUUUAGCAUUAAUUCUGUAUUUAGCAUCAGGAGCUUAUAAACACUGCUGCUUGCAAGUAGACAAAUCUGGUGAGUCAGCAACAAGGAGCAAAUGCAGAAAUCCUACACCAAAGUGCUACUUGUACUCACUUUCAAUAAUGUAUUGUUCUCUUAAGGGGGAGAAAUGCCACUGAGUACACCCAGCAGAAGGCACAGCUCCUGCUCCAGAAAUGCCAUUAUUUCCCCACAUUAGCAGCAGCUCUGCACUGCUCACUCUUACACCUGCUGAUGUUACACUGCAUGGAUCAGCUCCUUUCAGAACCAUACAUUACUGUCUCAGUCCUUUUAUCUCUCAUCCUGCAGUUUGCCACCUAAGAACACCUCCACUAUUCCAUAAAUGAAAUUUUCAAGAAUCAUUACCAGGAAAGAGCACAGUAAAUUAAGAAUUCUCAUGCUACAAAUAUACAGGCCGAGUUCCACCAUAGUUAUAUGACUUCAGGGUUAUGCCACCACCUGUGCAUCAUCCAUUCAGCAAUGAGUCACUCUCAUCAUUCCAACUGCCUCAAAAUAAUUGGCUUUCCUAUUGAACACCCUUGCAUAAAAUAGUUCUGUGAAUACACAUGGUUCCCAAUUUGUUCAAAGUCAUAAACAAAUGCAAGAAACAAUUUUUUAUCCAUCUGCUCUUCUUCAGAUAGUGGGAAUUCCGUUGAUACGAUCUGGAUUUCUGUGCUGAAGUUAAACAACAAUUUGAGGGAUCUCAUUUUGUUUUAAAUCCACAUACAAGUAUCUGCAGUGCAGAGCCAAGUCCUGCUGCAUGCCGUACCUUCGUUUCAGUUGGUUUUAUGACCUGCAGGAUAAUGCAAUGCUAACACACUGCAACAUUCAGAGUACUCAAAUUUUAUGCUUCCGCUACACGCACACACAUCUCAAGAAAAAAUUAAUCUGCAAGCAGGUGUGGUGAAAUAAGAGAAGCAAAAUAGUGCAAGAUGCAAAAGCCGUGACAGAAUGGAUGGUUGAGUGGAGACAGUGAGGGAAGAACUGGUGGCAUUUUAGUACUACCACUGUGAUGGGUCCUUCAAUACGGCACUGAAGAAACAUUCACAUUGGCACGUAGGUCACUAAAGAAAUUCCCAUCACUUGACUGAGUGCAGUUCAAGGUGCACCAGGUGUUUGGUCUAGGAACAGAAAGCCAACAAACCGUACUGAUUCACUGCUGGAUCGAUGAAGCAGCAGCAGCCAAGUCAAGCUGACUGCCAGGGCAGUCCUUCCUUUCACUCUACCACAUGUUUUCCAUACAGUCCAAGGGUCACUGCAGUGCUGCUCCCAUCCCCCUCAGCUGGCCAGCUUCUGCAGCUCAUGGGAGUGCCAUAAAGAGCACAGGUGCCUCUUCCACCAAGCAGUGAGUUACUCCUCCAGAAAAAAGGCACCGAAGCAGGACUUUUUUCUUCCAAAAUAAGCAACCAUUCUCAAACAUAAGCCUAUAUCCCCACCCCAAUACUUACUUGCAGCUGUCCAGCAGCACAGAAACUCUAAUAAACUUGAAAGGCAAUCUAAUCUGCACUCAUGUUUGCAGGCAUCCCCGUAUAAUCUGCAUUUAAUAUGCCUUUGCCAUGGGCUAAAACCAGGAAGCUGUUUGAUAGGGCUAUGCUGACCAUAAACACAGCUCACAAGAUUAAUGGGUAGGAACUACUGAUAACAAAACAUUAUUUUUCUUGUCGAAGAUUGCUGCAGGCUCACAAAACACCACCGCAGGGCUCAGUGCUGUGCUCCAUCUUAUUCCAGCUGCCAGCCUUUUAAACAUUAAAGCUAAGAAGGCCUUUAUCAGAACAGGACCAAGCAAAUCAGCGUAUGAAUCCAUACACUUUUACAGAAGUGGACAGGUGCAGAGGAUGUACUUCUCAAAGACCCAGCUGAUAAAUUAAAAUGGAAAGACAUCUUAAAUAACAGAAUAAAGCAGGAUAUCAUCUCGUCAGUGGAAGUCUAAGGGAACUACAGGUUAAGGCCACAACAAGGCCAAACGCAGACAAAGAGGGAUACAGAUCUUCUACACCUACAUAACCCAACACAGGAAUAUUUAUUUUCCAGCCCUGGGUGACAUAUGAGCAGCACAGCAAGGUACAACAGCCUGCCUACGCCACAGGGAAAUACAACCCAUGCUCAGGAAGGCCCUCAGCUUCCUGACUGCUGACUGCCGCUCUCCUGCACCGCGUCUGAGAAAAGCAGAGCCAUCCUCCCAAGGACAGAAGCACUGCAACAAACGCCACAGGCACAGCAGGCCUGGGAAUGAGGCAUCAGGAUGAGCAACCACCUCUUGGUGGCUGCCUGAUGGGCAGCCAAAGUUCACGUCGUGAGUCACUUCCUGUCCUGUUCGGAAGAGCAGCAUCACAGCUUCCCUUUCCCUAGAGGAAAUCACGCACACCAAGCUGCUUGCCAGCUGAAGCUGUUUCAGACAUGGAAAUGCCCUCCCUGUUGUCCCUUGUCCUGUUGCUGGGCACUACCAAAAAGAAUUUGUCCCCAUCCACGUGACACCCACCCUCUAGGCAUUUAGAGGUAUUGGUAAGAUCCCCUGUUGGUCUUUCCCGAGCUGAACAGCCCCUGGUGUCUCAGUCUUUGCUCAUAAAGGAGAUGCUCUAAGACUCUCAUCAUCUUUGUGGUCCUCCACUGGGCCCUCUCCAGUAGUUCACAAUGUAGGCUUACUGAGAUUAAAACCAUCAACAGAAAAGCACAGGCUGAGUCUAGCUAGCUAAAACCAGAGGUGCUGCUCAACAGCCUGGUUUGGUGCUUGGACUUGCACUGAGCCACGGCUGAACAAUUCACAGCAGGAAGCUUCACAAAAGCAAGCAUU